GUAGGUGAACCUGCGGAGGGAUCAUUAAAGAGUUGCAAAACUCCCAAACCAUUGUGAACUUACCUUCAACGUUGCUUCGGCGGGUUGGCUCCGGGUCUCCCGGGGCCCCCGGCCCUCACGGGCGCCCGCCGGAGGUAUCUAACUCUUGAAAUUGUAUGGCCUCUCUGAGUGAUUUAUAAAUAAGUCAAAACUUUCAACAACGGAUCUCUUGGUUCUGGCAUCGAUGAAGAACGCAGCGAAAUGCGAUAAGUAAUGUGAAUUGCAGAAUUCAGUGAAUCAUCGAAUCUUUGAACGCACAUUGCGCCCGCCAGUAUUCUGGCGGGCAUGCCUGUUCGAGCGUCAUUUCAACCAUCAAGCCCCCGGCUUGUGUUGGGGACCUGCGGCUGCCGCAGGCCCUGAAAACCAGUGGCGGGCUCGCUAGUCACUCCGAGCGUAGUAAUACAUCUCGCUCAGGGCGUGCUGCGGGUUCCGGCCGUUAAAAGCCUUAUUUACCCAAGGUUGACCUCGGAUCAGGUAGGAAGACCCGCUGAACUUAAGCAUAUCAAUUAAGCGG
rnacentral:rRNA from 1 species